GUAAAUUAAAAAUAAAAAUCCAAUUCAUUUACAUAAUAAAGAUUUUGUUUCUGUAAUUAGGUCUCUUAAAUGAGCUUAUAAGAAAAUUAGAUUUGGAAAUAAGUUUGUAUUUUUUGGAAAGAUGUAUUGGAAUCAGGAAUUAGCAUUAAAGAAACAUCCACAGAAGAUCAUGUUUUACCUUUUUGGGUUUCCAAAGAUCUCUCCAUAUCUUUGGAGGCAAUUUACUGGUUCAUAUACUUUUUUUUUGUCUAUUAGACAAUUUUUUCUCAAAUAUGCUGCUACUUAUACAAUAAGACCAGAGACACAUGACACAUUUUUUUGUCAACUUGCCACAUGUGUCAAACUGUAACACAAUGCUGCCAUAGAUGAAUGCUGUGAGCCACUUGGCACACACCAUAUAGAACUCUGUGGCACAUGUAUCAAGACCAACAUGACUGCAUAUCAGUCAUUUUCAGCAUGGACCUAUUUUUCCUUUUAAUCAAAGAACAGUAUGGCAUUAUAACAUUGUAAAAGUUCAAUAACCACAUUCUAUCCAAUUUUUUAUUUAGAAUUUUUGUUAAAAAUUACCUCAAUUCAAAUUAUUUUUGUAAAUGUUAUUGCUGUGAAAAGAUGGUUGUCUUUUCAAAACAGCACCAUCUGACCACUCUCAGUUAAAAUAAUGGGAAAAAGUAUUUUAGUAUUGCUGAUAUGCUGUCGAGCAAUACUAAAAUAUUUGACAUGCUAUCGAGCAAUACCGACAAAAAGAGCAUCAUCUGUCUCCUGUUUAAUUGAAAAUUCUUGAGACAAUGCAAAUGAUGAACAUUUUCUGUGCUGUGUCUAACAAUGAUAUAAAAGAAAUAAAACAGCUCAAAAUGAAUCAACAUUUUAACAAUGGGAC
rnacentral:lncRNA from 1 species